GGCAUAUUGAUCAAUGUCACACAUUUAGUGUGAUAUUGAGAAUUUAUUUUGUGUUGAGUUGUUAUCUAUUUGUUAUAUUGUUAUUGUAAAAAAAAACUUUGUUUCUUUAUUUGUUUGACAUGUUAUGCACAUAAAGUGGAGAUCGGCUGACCGGCACGUUGAGCAUCGACUUUAGGAAAUGUAUGGUUACAUCGCAUAAAACGGGUUUCAACGACGAUAGGUGACGUAACUUCUAGCGCUCAAGUAUUGAAAAAAAAUUGCCGAUUUAACUGUCACCUUGCUGGAGAGGAGAGAGAAAAUACUUCAGGUUAUUCCGCCAAUUAAGCGCAAAAACGUAUUAUUGCCAGCGACGUCACCUAGCCAACUCGAAACAAAUUUGACUCUUAUAAUGCAAUGAGUUUCGAUUUAAAGGUAAAUUUAUAUUACGGAACUAAUUCGGAGAUUAAAGAGAUUGGAUGGAGUGGGCAUGGUGCGUUACAGGCUAUGGGUUUAUCCCAGAGAUACAUCUGCUUUUACGUUUGCGGUCGGAUAGAACUAGCGAAUGCAGAGUUUAUGAGUAGCCAUAUGAGCAAUAAACCUUUCAUUGCAUACCGUAACUAGAUAGUUAUGUUCUAUAUUUUUUGUAUUCAAUAUUAGGUUUACUGUUCUUGAGUCAAUAACAUUAAAAUUUAUUUUUUACACAUUACGUGACAACGUUCUCGCAUGCUAACUUUAGUUAAAAUUUUCUUAGCUUGGUUCUUUGGUAUAGGGAUUUAAGUUUUAAUUUCUUAUUUGUCCAACCUGUUUCACUCUGUUUAUGGGAAUUCUGCAAUCGUUCCUUUACAUAGGCGAUACAACUCCAUUGCUCAGAUUAAUUAUUAAAAAGAAUGUUUAAAACCGUUAUCCUAAAAUAUGCCCCACCUUAUUGGGAUAAAGUUAACUUGUGGGAAGAACAUUCCUUAGAUUCCGCAUCCGAAGAAUAUAAACAAAUUGAAUAUGAAAUAGGAAUGGCUAUACAAACGACUCAAAAAAAAAUAUUUGAUAUUGUACGGAUUCAGAAUAUACAUGAUCUUGGGCAAAUGUUAAUAAGGGAGCAGUUACUAGUAAGAGCUAAUCCAAGUAGGAGUUACUUUCGGGUCCGGAGAUUUUUGAAAAUCAAAAAACAAUUCUAUGGAACAGCAUUAAAAUACAAUCUCGAUCACCGCAGAUGCGGAUUGGCUAAUUUGAUUUUUAAAAAGUCUAUCAAUUACUCUGAAUUUAAGACUGAUGACUUAUUGGUUAUAGUACAAGUUGCAACUGAGUUUCCGGAUAACGAAGAAAUAAUUCCCGAUACCACAUUGCAAUAUUUUAUUGACUACAUCAUUUCCUUCUCUAAUUAGUAUAUAUUUUUGUUUUUUUUUUAUUAAGUUUGUAUGUUUAAGUUUAUGGAGGGGAUAUUUUAAUUUUAUAUUAUAUUUUAGUUAGUUCAUUUGAUUUGAUUUUAUAUAAAUAGUAAUCUUACUUCACGUUGAGGUUUGUAAUUUGUAAUUGUA